rnacentral:rRNA from 1 species
AUUGAACGCUAGCGGGAUGCUUUACACAUGCAAGUCGAACGGCAGCGCGGACUUCGGUCUGGCGGCGAGUGGCGAACGGGUGAGUAAUGUAUCGGAACGUGCCCAGUAGCGGGGGAUAACUACGCGAAAGCGUAGCUAAUACCGCAUACGCCCUACGGGGGAAAGCAGGGGAUCGUAAGACCUUGCACUAUUGGAGCAGCCGAUAUCGGAUUAGCUAGUUGGUGAGGUAACGGCUCACCAAGGCGACGAUCCGUAGCUGGUUUGAGAGGACGACCAGCCACACUGGGACUGAGACACGGCCCAGACUCCUACGGGAGGCAGCAGUGGGGAAUUUUGGACAAUGGGGGCAACCCUGAUCCAGCCAUCCCGCGUGUGCGAUGAAGGCCUUCGGGUUGUAAAGCACUUUUGGCAGGAAAGAAACGUCGCGGGCUAAUACCCCGUGGAACUGACGGUACCUGCAGAAUAAGCACCGGCUAACUACGUG